rnacentral:rRNA from 1 species
GAGACAGCAGUCGCCGCGUUAAUACGGAGGAUCCAAGCGUUAUCCGGAAUCAUUGGGUUUAAAGGGUCCGUAGGCGGUCUUGUAAGUCAGUGGUGAAAGCCCAUCGCUCAACGGUGGAACGGCCAUUGAUACUGCAGGACUUGAAUUAUUGGGAAGUAACUAGAAUAUGUAGUGUAGCGGUGAAAUGCUUAGAGAUUACAUGGAAUACCAAUUGCGAAGGCAGGUUACUACCAAUUGAUUGACGCUGAUGGACGAAAGCGUGGGUAGCGAACAGGAUUAGAUACCCCUGUAGUCCCUGUCUCUUAUAC